rnacentral:rRNA from 1 species
UGAGGAGCGAAAGCGUGGGGAGCGAACAGGAUUAGAUACCCUGGUAGUCCACGCCGUAAACGAUGAGUGCUAAGUGUUAGGGGGUUUCCGCCCCUUAGUGCUGCAGCUAACGCAUUAAGCACUCCGCCUGGGGAGUACGGUCGCAAGACUGAAACUCAAAGGAAUUGACGGGGGCCCGCACAAGCGGUGGAGCAUGUGGUUUAAUUCGAAGCAACGCGAAGAACCUUACCAGGUCUUGACAUCCUCUGACAAUCCUAGAGAUAGGACGUCCCCUUCGGGGGCAGAGUGACAGGUGGUGCAUGGUUGUCGUCAGCUCGUGUCGUGAGAUGUUGGGUUAAGUCCCGCAACGAGCGCAACCCUUGAUCUUAGUUGCCAGCAUUCAGUUGGGCACUCUAAGGUGACUGCCGGUGACAAACCGGAGGAAGGUGGGGAUGACGUCAAAUCAUCAUGCCCCUUAUGACCUGGCGCUACACACGUGCUACAAUGGACAGAACAAAGGGCAGCGAUACCGCGAGGUUAAGCGAAUCCCACAAAUCUGUUCUCAGUUCGGAUCGCAGUCUGCAACUCGACUGCGUGAAGCUGGAAUCGCUAGUAAUCGCGGAUCAGCAUGCCGCGGUGAAUACGUUC